CAGUAGCCGCGGGAACACGAAGGGGGCUAGCGUUGCUCGGAAUUACUGGGCGUAAAGGGCGCGUAGGCGGACAUUUAAGUCAGGGGUGAAAUCCCGGGGCUCAACCUCGGAACUGCCUUUGAUACUGGGUGUCUUGAGUAUGAGAGAGGUGUGUGGAACUCCGAGUGUAGAGGUGAAAUUCGUAGAUAUUCGGAAGAACACCAGUGGCGAAGGCGACACACUGGCUCAUUACUGACGCUGAGGCGCGAAAGCGUGGGGAGCAAACAGGAUUAGAUACCCGUGUAGUCCCUGUCUCUUAUAC
rnacentral:rRNA from 1 species